rnacentral:rRNA from 1 species
GACGAACGCUGGCGGCGUGCUUAACACAUGCAAGUCGAACGGUAAGGCCUUCGGGUACACGAGUGGCGAACGGGUGAGUAACACGUGGGUGAUCCGCCCCCUACUCUGGGAUAAGCCUGGGAAACUGGGUCUAAUACCGGAUAUGACCUCCUUCUGCAUGGUUGGUAGUGGAAAGGUUUUUCGGUAGGGGAUGAGCCCGCGGCCUAUCAGCGUGUUGGUGGGGUAAUGGCCUACCAAGGCGACGACGGGUAGCCGGCCGGGGAGGGCGACCGGCAACAAUGGGACUGAGACACGGCCCAGACUCCUACGGGAGGCAGCAGUGGGGAAUAUUGCACAAUGGGCGAAAGCCUGAUGCAGCGACGCCGCGUGGGGGAUGACGGCCUUCGGGUUGUAAACCCCUUUCAGUCGGGACGAAGCGAGAGUGACGGUACCGAUAGAAGAAGCACCGGCCAACUACGUGCCAGCAGCCGCAGUAAUAC